ACACAUGCAAGUCGAACGAGAAAGUGGAGCAAUCCAUGAGUACAGUGGCGUACGGGUGAGUAACACGUGGGUAAUCUACCUUUUAAUGAGGAAUAACCGAGGGAAACUUUGGCUAAUACCGCAUAAGCCUGAGAAGGGAAAGCAGAAAUGCGCUGAAAGAGGAGCCCGCGGCCGAUUAGCUAGUUGGUGGGGUAAGAGCCUACCAAGGCAGAGAUCGGUAGCCGGCCUGAGAGGGCACACGGCCACACUGGCACUGAAACACGGGCCAGACUCCUACGGGAGGCAGCAGUGGGGAAUCUUGCACAAUGGGGGAAACCCUGAUGCAGCGACGCCGCGUGAGCGAUGAAGCCCUUCGGGGUGUAAAGCUCUUUCGUCAGGGAAGAUAGUGACGGUACCUGGAGAAGCAGCUGCGGCUAACUACGUGCCAGCAGCCGCGGUAAUACGUAGGCAGCAAGCGUUGUUCGGAGUUACUGGGCGUAAAGGGUGUGUAGGCGGUUCCUUAAGUUUGCUGUGAAAUCUCCCGGCUUAACCGGGAGGGUGCGGUGAAUACUGAGGGACUAGAGUACGGGAGAGGAAAGUGGAAUUCCUGGUGUAGCGGUGAAAUGCGUA
rnacentral:rRNA from 1 species